UAUGCUAUGAAGAUAGUGUGCCACUGCACUUAUUCCAUCGGAGGAAUUUGAAAUGGAGAAAUUCUAGGCACAGGGGCCAUCUGAGCAUA
rnacentral:misc_RNA from 1 species